rnacentral:lncRNA from 1 species
AUAUUACAACUUUAUUAACUUGCUAGGAAGGAAAUAACAAAUAUCAAUUUAUCAUUAUAAUGAUGCAGGGUUAAUUCCCGACUUAAUUACCAGGAAGGAUUCUAGUCCAGGAGAUGGAAAACCUGAAGGAGUCCAAACCCAUUUGUUUCAUGGAAGCAAUGGUGAUGAAGCUGAAGACUUUUUUCAUCAUUAUAAGGUGGGUCUUCAAAUUAAAUUAGUUUAUAAACAUAUUUUGAACAUUCUUUNAAUGGUGAUGAAGCUGAAGACUUUUUUCAUCAUUAUAAGGUGGGUCUUCAAAUUAAAUUAGUUUAUAAACAUAUUUUGAACAUUCUUUAUCCUGCAGUUAAAUAAUUUAUCACACACCCAUACAUCCUAUAGAUAUAUAGGAGACUAUACUUUGUAUAAUCCAAUAUAAAGCAUCAUUAUACUUCCUGCAGGAUAAAGAAUGUUCAAAAUAUGUUUAUAAACUAAUUUAAUUUGAAGACCCACCUUAUAAUGAUGAAAAAAGUCUUCAGCUUCAUCACCAUUGCUUCCAUCCUUGAUCUUCUCUGUAGGAAGUAUUUGUAAAUAUUGAAUCGGACCAAUUUCUCAUCUAAGGAUUUCUAGGAUCUACUAAUCCAUUUUUAUAUAAUCUUCACACUUUACUUCGCGUGCUUGAUUAAUAAAACGGCCACAUGGGUGGCAAAUUGGUAAAGGUUUUAAGAUUAACUUUGCCGAUUAAUUUAAGACACUAACUAACUACCACUACCAAUAUAUAAUGGUUGAGGAGGAGAGACCUGGGUGCGCAUGAGUGAAGUUAUCCCAUAUGCUCUGUCCCUUGCCACCUGCUCUCCAAGCACCCUCGUACUAUUCGAUUAAAUUAACAACGUACGUACCAUCAAUUAUCAGCUAGUAUCGCGAAAAGAACAGAAAAGAAAAGAGAAGGGAGGGCGGAAAAUUUAUAUAUAUAUAUAUAUAUAUAUAUAUAGAAACUUUUCUUUUGGUUCGUAUAUUAUACGAGAAGAACCGGUAGAAGAGAACAAAUGUUAGCUGGAGAACCUGAUAAGCUGAGGAGGAUGCACCGAAGAGAAACCCAUGGGGGAAAACACUUCGGUUAAAGGGCGCGAGUGCCGAAGCUAAGUUGUUAGACAAAGCUAUGAGGAUGAUGAGUGAAAGAUGUAAUAAGAGUGAAAGAUAUAACAUUCCUCUGCUCAUUCUACGAGCCAUGCACGCAGAAAUAAUUAAAUACGAAUUAGCUUCAAAUUUAGGUUAGCUUCAGAGUGUAUAAGCCCUGUGAACGAUUCUAGAGUAGUGCAGCUGCCUCCGCCCACAUCAAUUAUAUAUAUAGGAGGGAAAUGCUUAAGCCUCCGUUUGGUUCAGGGUUAAGAAAAAAAUAGCUAUUCCAGUGAUAGAGUUAAGUUCAGGGUUAAAGUGGGGUUAAAGUUUAUUUGUAUUUGGUUGGGGGUUGGAGUUAGUCUAGAAUAAUAAAAAAUAGUGUUUGGUUGGAAUAGGUGGGAUAAAAAGAUAAUGAUUGAUAAAGAAGAAUAAUGAUUGAUUGGAGUAGGUGUGAUAAGAAAGAUAGUGAGUUAUUAUGAAUAGAAAAUAGUGUUUGGUUGGAGUUUGGUGGGGUUAGGUCGGGUUAGCUAAUCCGGAAUAAUUUAUUUGAGGUGGGGUUAGCUAACCCCACCCAUUUUUUAGGGUGUUUGGGGAUAAAAUGAGGGUUAAGAAAUUACCAAAAUAACCCCACCAAGCACCUUCUCAGCGUAAGGGCCACGUGCUCGUAGAGAUGGAGCAAGAAAAUCUAUCUAUACAAUCUAUGUGUUUUUUUUUUUUUUUUUGAGAGAGAUAGAUAUAUAGCACGCUAUCUGCUUCGUUUAUUUCAUUUAGAAAUAAACUUGGCUCGAAAUAUGAAUUAACUAAGAUUCAAACUUAGCACAUCGAGUACCAACCAUGCAUCAAGCCCUUUGCCACUUGCUUUAGGUAGAAAUAAUCUAUGUUAAUAUAUAAGACGUGAGUUUUUAAGGCAGGUAGUAGAGCCGUAGAGGAAGGGGAACUGGAGGGGGAGUGGGGCUGGGGCUGGGCCUGGGGGUGUGAUUGGGCCAACUUUUUUUCUUAUUUUCUUUUUUUCAUCAUCGUCCACUAACUAGGACUUUAAAAAAUAAUAUAUUUAAAAAAACAAAUAAUUUAAUUCUCAUUCGUCAUAAAAAUUUAAAAUAUAUAGCUUUUUACAUAUAAUUUUUAAAUGGUGUAGAUUAUAUGUAUUAAACAUAAAUUUUAAUUUUAUAAUAUUGAUCACGUAGAUAUAAAUUGCACAAUAGAUAAUAAAAAAGAGAUUAAUAAAAUUUAAAUUAAAAUUUGUUUUAAUAAAUUUAGUUACGAAAAUCAUAUGAAAUAUAUUAACUAAAUCUGUAAGCUAAACGACAUAUUUUAAUUUUGAAAUUAAUGUAUCAUUUACUCACUCAAAUUUAACAUAUAGAAAGAUUGGAUAAUAAAAACAAAGAUUUGAAAAGUUGGAUAACUA